rnacentral:rRNA from 1 species
AACGGAGGGAGCGAGCGUUGUUCGGAAUCACUGGGCGUAAAGGGCGCGUAGGCGGAUCGGUAAGUCCAACGUGAAAUCUGUCGGCUCAACCGGCAGACUGCGUUCGAUACUGUCGAUCUCGAGUACAGGAGGGGAAGGUGGAAUCGGCGGUGUACCGGUGAAAUGGGUAGAUAUCGCCGAGAACACCGGUGGCGAAGGCGGCCUUCUAGCCUGAUACUGACGCUGAGGCGCGAAAGCUGGGGGAG